rnacentral:rRNA from 1 species
AUUGAACGCUGGCGGCAGGCUUAACACAUGCAAGUCGAGCGGAGAUGAGGUGCUUGCACCUUAUCUUAGCGGCGGACGGGUGAGUAAUGCUUAGGAAUCUGCCUAUUAGUGGGGGACAACAUUCCGGAAGGAAUGCUAAUACCGCAUACGCCCUACGGGGGAAAGCAGGGGAUCUUCGGACCGUGCGCUAAUAGAUGAGCCUAAGUCGGAUUAGCUAGUUGGUGGGGUAAAGGCCUACCAAGGCGACGAUCUGUAGCGGGUCUGAGAGGAUGAUCCGCCACACUGGGACUGAGACACGGCCCAGACUCCUACGGGAGGCAGCAGUGGGGAAUAUUGGACAAUGGGCGGAAGCCUGAUCCAGCCAUGCCGCGUGUGUGAAGAAGGCCUUUUGGUUGUAAAGCACUUUAAGCGAGGAGGAGGCUACCUGGAUUAAUACUCUAGGAUAGUGGACGUUACUCGCAGAAUAAGCACCGGCUAACUCUGUGCCAGCCGCCGCGGUAACAC